rnacentral:rRNA from 1 species
AUACGUAGGGAGCGAGCGUUGUCCGGAAUUACUGGGUGUAAAGGGCGUGUAGGCGGGACGACAAGUCAGAUGUGAAAUACCGGGGCUCAACUCCGGGGCUGCAUUUGAAACUGCCGUUCUUGAGUGAUGGAGAGGGAAGCGGAAUUCCUAGUGUAGCGGUGAAAUGCGUAGAUAUUAGGAGGAACACCAGUGGCGAAGGCGACUUUCUGGACUAUACCUGACACUGAGGCGCGAAAGCGUGGGGAGCGAACGGGAUUAGAUACCCCGGUAGUCCACGCCGUAAACGAUGGAUACUAGGUGUAGGGGGUAUCGACCCCUUCUGUGCCGCAGCUAACGCAAUAAGUAUCCCGCCUGGGGACUACGGUCGCAAGACUAAAACUCAAAUGAAUUGACGGGG